UGAAUAUUGGGAAUGAAACAAGUAUCAUGUUAAUGGUGAAAGGAGGUCGUUUUGUUAAGGACGAUGAAGGCUUAUGUAGGAAGGUUGUUAGCGGUUGUGCCGGCGGUGAGGAAGAAAGCAGAACAACUUUCCUUUUUUUUUUCUUUUUUUUUUUGUGAGUCCAAAAGUGGAGAUACGUGUCAGGUGAGUGUAGGAUAAAAGAGAGAGGGAUAACGUGUUAAUGUGAGGUGAAUGAGACGUUGGUAGGUGGCGUGUAGAGUGAGGGAAACGUGAGGUGAGAGAGAAAAGACAGAGUGGGAAAUGUGAAUACCAGCUGUAAAAAAAAAAGAAUUCAAUGCUAAUUUCAUUUUAUUUUUUGUAAACAAUUACUAUCAUUUAAGAAAAUAUAUAAAAU
rnacentral:lncRNA from 1 species